GGAAGACAAAAAGAGCAAGAGGGAGGAAGUUGCCUCGAGCCCCACCCCUUCCUUAUCCUUUCCUCCAAAAUUUCACAUCGCACGCAACCUUCUCUCGUGCCGCCGCCGCCGCCGCCGCCGCCUCUUCUCUCCCCCGAUUCUCCUCGCGACUGCUCCGAGCCCCUCCUCUUCCCUGUGUCGGCUGCUCGACGCGCCACCGCUGCGGGAGAAGGUGAACACGAGGAGAUGCAGGGUGGGUGGCCUCGCCGGAAGAGGGUGACGCCGGGAACCACCGGCUGGCCAAGGACCGUGUGGGCUGGCACUUCCCCGCGGCGCCCUCCUUCCCCGACUUCGCCGUCGCCACUGCCCCCUCCCCUCCUGUCAAGGCUGAGCGUGCACAGAGUGGACGAGUCGAUCGCGGCGGAACCAGAGUCACUCGAGGCCGGGGUGCGAGAUGAUGUCCAGCAGGCGGAGGGGUGGCCAUGGGAGGAGUAGCCCACAAUGAAAUCCAUUUUCUCUUUGUGUGUGUGUGUGUGUGUUGGAUUUGGAUCGAGGAAGGGGAUGGCGUGGGGAUGAGGCGGUGGACAGAGGAAGAGGGCGAUGCUGGCUGGCUGAGCGGGCGGAUCUGGUAGAGCGGCCAGAGGAGCAGGCCAACAUAACACCAACGUGGUGAGCUUCCCCUCUCCACCAUCUACCCCCAGAUCUGAACAUCAACUACAAUUUGUACGUUUUGGUUAUACUCUAUUUCAGUUUAUACAAAUCUCGUUUUGGUUAAACUUCUGUCUUCGAUGCCAUGGCUGAAACUAGAGCAAACACAUAAAACCUACAGAGAAAGGAUUACACACUUUUAUCAGGUGUUAAGUUCAGCUGCCUUGACCAUGGCAGUGCUAAGUAAAUUUAUAAUUGGAUUCUGCUGAUCUGUGGAUAGGUAGCCUAACCGGUGAUGGGUAGCCUCACCCUGUUAAAUCUGAUCGGGUAAUGUGAGAACCAAAAUGAAUUUAUUUUGCUCCGUUUCUUACAAGCACUUGUCUUAAGUAGAUGCCACAAGCUCAUCUUCAAUGAUGGAUUUUAUUAUGUCGUGCCUAUUAAGCAGCCAAAGAUCAGAUAUUUGACCCCAUCACUAAUAGUAAGAUGCACACAAAGAAUAUCUGCACCCAGUCAUUCUCAUUCACUGAAGCUUGGUUCUUUGUUAUAUGAAUCAGUUAGAUUUCUACAAAAGCGAUUCUUGUUGCUAGGUGCAUCAUCGUCAAGGAUGUGUUUUCCCCACUUGGGAGCAACAUCUAGAAUAUAUUUUCCUAUGAACGCGCGAGAUUGCCUAUGUGCUGUUAGAUUUGAUCUUCAGAAUAUUUGCAAGUGAUGUCUUUCUGCACUGUAUUCCGUUCAAUAGAAUAGCACUGCACCCCUAAUUCAAGAAUGCAAUUUUAGAGUUAUACUAAGGACAGUACUUGUGCAAGGCGAAUUGAAAUCGAAAUUUCGCAUGUACACCUGCAAAAAGGAGAUGACCUGCAUGAGUGCAAAGGCUAAGGCGAGGUAUGUGCAAUCUUGAUGUACCACCAUGUAAAAAAACUGGAGUAUGUGCAUAAUUUUUCCUAUGGAACUAUUAUGGAAACCAGAUGCUUAUUCUUGAAAUGGUUGCUCAUAUCAAAGAAGAGGUCUCCUUUGGCGCCAUUUUGGAGUUCUUAUCCAAGUUCUGUUCUAAUUAUUACUAGAUGAUGUUGUGUUGAUGCUGUUCUUCACAGUUGAUGGCAAUAUGACGUUGACAAGUGUAGUGGUUCGGUUUGGAGAAAGAGAGAAUAAAGUAUCCCUAUACAUCAGUACAUUUGGCUACUAAUGUAAGAAUACAAAAAGUCGUUUCAGUAGCUUUCACAGGUUCAUCAAGGAGUUGGCUGUUCAAGCUGAAUCCCUCCACACCCAAAUGAUAAAAGCUUGUUUUUUUAAUGAACAAGCUAAUUUAGGAAACGUUGCUAAUCCAGGCUAAGAAAUGAGUUCUCAGAUGAGGUGUCAUGUGCCAGCAGUAAUUUUUUUAUGAGUCUACCCAAGUGUCAGAGUAACUAUCUUGCUUUUAGUUGUGAUUCUGAUUAUUUACAUUUAAGAGCUCAUUUCUUAUGACUUCUUGUGUGUAUCAUGAUAGAUUGUAUACAACUGAUCGUAGCUCAUUUUAUUAUUCGGAGACUUUCAACUAAUUACCAUAUGCUAAUAAUUCUCUUUUCUUUUUUCUUUCCUUUCCAUUUGCCAAUUACAUAGGUUCAUUAGAAAUCCAACUGUCAAUGAGAACGCCAUGAACCUCAUUUUUGGUUCAAUAAAUCGUUCAAUUUCUUUUAUUUAAUUUGCAUGUGGAAACAACAUAUGCUAAUUUUCCAUUUAUGUUUCAACAUACACAUGCGCACACAUUUGUACUGAUUAAUUGUUCGCGAAACGAUCUGCCGACAUACUCACAUGAUACUUUUAGUGCUGUUGUCUUAUUAUUUCCCUUUUACUCCGCUCUCUGUUUUUCCAUCUUGCUUCACUUUCGAUCAAUCGUCACAGCAAUUGCUUCUUACCAAUUAUUAUAAUUUUUUUUCUCAAAUGCACAGCGCAAGGAAGAUGAGCUUCCUUGUAUUUCUCGCUUGCAUGGAUUCUAUUUAUUGGAAUUAUUUGCCGUAAAAAAUGCCUUGGUCAUACAUCUAAGUACGACUAUGCUUUUAUGUACUCCCUCCGUUCCAAAAUAGAUGACCCAAUUUUAUACUAACUUUGUACUAAAGUUAGUACAAAGUUGGGUCAGCUAUUUCGGAACGGAGGGAGUAGUUGUGUGAGUGUGUGACAACAUCUCAAUAUCAAAGUUUUAGUAUCAAGGAUAAAAAACUUUGUGGAUGUACUAUUAGGAAGAGCAGUGAUUACAGCCAGUAUAGUUUGGAUAAAUGUAGGCAGUAAAACUGGAAAUUGGGCCUGCAAAAACUAAACAUAGGCAUUUUUUCAACCACUUUUUAAGUGGGCACGAUGAUCUUUGCCAAGUAUGAUAGCCAAACAAGUUGCUAAUUGCCAAGUGCUAACCAAUUUAUCUACCACCAUUGUUACCUGACGCGUUAUGCAAGGGUGGUUAGCUUGUACCUGUCAGCUUCUGCUCCCUAACAUGGAUUCUAGUUAAUGGAUCACUAUGCUUUUGAAGUGCUUAUGCACCACAUCUCAAUAUCUAAGCUUUAGCAAUAAAACCAAAUAACUACAGAAACAAUAAAAUUCUAACAGGGAAUAUAGAUGAGUGCUGCAAUGUCAAGUGUAGAACAACAGAUUCACAAGCAUGGUGCUUACCACGCUUGCACUGGUGCUUGACCAUGGUGACGGCGCCGCUAUGCCUCCAGUCCAGCGCGUCGGGCACGGCGUCGGGACAGGAAUGUGCCUUGCUUCACUUUCCGUGAAGUCACUCCUUUGUACUUGUAUUGUUUCGUUUUACUCAAGUGCCUUGAUACAAGAUACUUAAAGUAUUUCUCGAUUUUACCUCAUUCCUUAUUACUAACCCACAACCGUACUUCCGGUUAAUGUGGUCUGGACUGUCAUUCAGGUGCCAUGGAAGGACUAAACAAGAUCGCGACGGGCUCUCUUCUCAGCCUUCCUGAGUAGAAACUAAUCGGUUGUGACAGAUCCCACAAUGCUGGUUGUGGCGGGUAGGCUCAUGAACUAUGCUUAUAAGUUUGUGAUUAAUAAUGGUGGGAGUGACAGGAAGGAUGACUACCCGUUUGGUGAAUCAGAUGAAGCAUGCAACAAAAACAAACUGAAAAAGCAUGUGAUAACAAUUGAUGGCUACUGAAGCGACGUCCUGCUGGUGUACAUCAGGGACGCCUGCACCAACGAUGACGCCUUCAAGGUGCCGUGGAAGUGAAGUCAGGGCAUGGGGAUCCGGGCAAGUGCGCCAAGGAGACCGACGCGUCUUACCCGCUCAUGACCCAAGCAGUGAUUUUCCAUUGCCUCAUGUAUCAUCGACCGUCGCCAGCCUCUGGUUUUAGAUGUGAACGUGCAUGUACCAGUACUUCAUAUUGCUAUAUUUUGAUUCUGACGAAAUAACAUCACGUGGUACAAUCAAGAAAGUGGAAGGGGCGCAUCCUAUCUAGCACCGCCCUAGCUUCCUCUCAGGCGGCGCACCUGGGUGCGCCCCAACCACUAGUUUGGGAAAAAACCUACUUGCUCUGUUCCAUUAUGUAAGACAUUUUUUUGGCACUGUAGAUGGGUAUCCUCCAAGACUCCCUCACCGAUGAUUGAUGUGAAAAGCGAGAACGCACAAUGGAAAGUUAGUUUAUUUGAA
rnacentral:rRNA from 1 species